CGAACAUUGCGCCCCUCGGUAUUCCUUGGGGCAUGCCUGUUCGAGCGUCAUUUACACAAUCAAGCCCUGCUUGGUGUUGGGCGUCUGUCCCGCGCGGACUCGCCUCAAAGCGAUUGGCGGCUAGCAUCACGGCUUGGAGUUGCAGCAGAAUUGCGCUCCUCGUGCGGCGGUGUCGGUCCCGGAAGCACCUAUAUAUAUCGUAUUGACCUCGAAUCAGGUAGGGAUACCCGCUGAACUUAA
rnacentral:misc_RNA from 1 species